rnacentral:rRNA from 1 species
CCUACGGGAGGCAGCAGUGGGGAAUAUUGCGCAAUGGGCGAAAGCCUGACGCAGCGACGCCGCGUGAGGGAUGAAGGUCUUCGGAUCGUAAACCUCUGUCAGCAGGGAAGAACGGUCCCUGUGCUACUCAGCAGUGCAUUGACGGUACCUGCAAAGGAAGCACCGGCUAACUCCGUGCCAGCAGCCGCGGUGAUACGGAGGGUGCGAGCGUUAAUCGGAAUUACUGGGCGUAAAGCGCGCGUAGGCGGGAUGUCAAGUCAAGGGUGAAAUCCCCGCGCUCAACGUGGGAACUGCCGUUGAAACUGGCAAACUGGAGUGUGUGAGAGGAGAGUGGAAGUCCUGGUGUAGGAGUGAAAUCCGUAGAUAUCGGGAGGAACAGCAGUGGCGAAGGCGACUAGCUGGAAAAUAACUGACGCUGAGGAGCGAAAGCGUGGGUAGCAAACAGGAUUAGAUACCCGGGUAGUC